rnacentral:rRNA from 1 species
AUGGUGAAGGGGCGGAAACGCAAGGCGGACUCAAUCAACAAUCCAUGGAACAAUCGGCCAUACUCCAAGAGAUAUUAUGAGCUAUUUGACAGGCGCCAUACCCUUCCCGUGUGGCAGCAAAAAGAUGAAUUCAUACGCACCCUACUGGACAACCAGAUCAUUAUCCUUGCUGGAGAUGCCGGGAGCGGCAGUACUACCCAGAUCCCACACUUUCUGUUUGAGGCUUUAGGAUUUGGCAACAACACUGUAAUUGCCUACGCCCUGCCAUCCAGAAUUGGGGCCAUGUCAAUCGCUCAAAGAGUCGCGGAGGAAAUGGACGUAAGCAUUGGGCAUGAAGUUGGCUAUAAGACUCGAUUUGAAGCUUCUACCAGUAACAUAACAGCUCUAAAGUUUCUCACCGAUGAUGUACUUUUUAGAGAGGCGUUGAUGGACCCGCUUUUGACGAAAUACAGUGUGAUUGUUCUGGGUGAGGUUCACAAGUUCAGACUUUCAACGGAUGUUCUUUGCACUGUUCUGAAGAAAGCUCUGGAGGAGCGACCUAAGAUGAAGCUUGUUCUUAUGAGUGCUAUCGAUGAAGAAGCAACUUUUCAAUGCUACUUCCCCAGUGCCAUCAUCAUGAAGUUGCCUGGUCCCAUCUAUCCAGUUACUAUCCAUUACGCUCCAAAAGAGGUUGGGAGUUAUGUAAAAGCUGCUAUUGACAUAUCUCUCCAGAUACAUAGCAAUGAACCUGCAGGAGCUAUUCUGAUAUUUCUCUGUGCACAAGCUGAAGUUGAAUAUGCAUGCUGGAAAAUUAGACAGAAGCUCAAUGCCUCGCGCGAUCUUGUUGGUGCAGUUGAUAUUGUCCCAAUUUACUCUACAAUAUCCUUAGAAAUGCAGCAGAGGCUUUUUCAACCUCCUCCUAUCAUAUGGAAUGUGGAAGCGCCUCCUGGUAGGACGAUCUUUGUGUCUACAGGAAUCGCUGAGGCUUCAUUAACACUAGAUGGUAUAGUUUAUGUCAUAGAUUCUGGGUUUUCUUAUCAGAAGAUUUGUGAUGGAGAUAUGUGGGCAGAAAAACACAUUCUAGCACCAAUUCCAAAGGCAUGUGCCAGUCAGAGAGCAGGUCUUGCUGGAAGAAAACAACCUGGGAGGUGCUACAGGUUGUACACUGAGGAGUGGUUUCAGGAACUGUCGCAGCAGGUGUACCCUUAA